rnacentral:rRNA from 1 species
AAUGAACGCUGGCGGCAUGCCUAACACAUGCAAGUCGAGCGAACGCAUGGGGCUUGCUCCCGGAUGCAGCUGCCGACGGAUGGGUAAUGCCUAUGAAUCUGCCUUAUCUUGCGGGAUGACGUCCUAAAACGGGCGCGAAUAUCGCAUCCGUCCAUAUAUCGAAAGUGGGGGAUCUUCGGUCCUAACGCUAUCUGAUGAGCCUAAGUCGGAUUAGCUAGUUGGUGGGGUAAAUGGCUGCCGAGGCGACGAUGCGUAACUGGUAUGAGAGGAUGAUCAGUCACACUGGAACUGAGACACGGUCCAGACUCCUACGGGAGGCAGCAGUGGGGAAUCUUGCACAAUGGGCGAAAGCCUGAUCCAGCAAUGCCGCGUGAGUGAUGAAGGUCUUCGGAUUGUAAAGCACUUUAAGUUGGGAGGAAGGAAAGUAAGUUUAUCCCUGGCUGUUUUGACGGUACCAACAGAAUAAGCCCCGGCUAACUUCGUG